rnacentral:lncRNA from 1 species
UUUUAAAAGUAUUUUUUUCUCGUGGCCUUUCCAGUCCCCAAGUCAGUCGAAGGUCAUAAAACACAAAUUUGAUUCAUGAGAAGGAGUCCCUUUCCCUGCAAAAAGAUUAAAACACACCGACAAGAAAAUCAAAACUCCUCUGAAAAUGGCUCUCUCUUGCAAUAACACCCUUUUCCCGAAACCCUUCUUUACCUCUUGUUCUUCUCAGACUCAGGGGACGCACUUCUCCAAUCUCCCACAACCCACCAAGCAAGACCCCAUUUUCAAAAUCAAAGGACCUUCAACUCUCUCAGGCCACAUUACCAUAAGUGGCUCAAAA